rnacentral:ncRNA from 1 species
AAAGAGCAACACGGGUGCCUCGUUCAUAGCUUACUAUGGACCUGUGCUGAGAUCAUACCGUUGAGCGGAUCAGGAUAAUGCCUGCGUCGCUAGUUGUUUAAUAUUGUCG